AUUGAACGCUGGCGGCAGGCCUAACACAUGCCAGUCGAGCGGAUGAAGGGAUCUUGCUCCUGGAUUCAGCGGCGGACGGGUGAGUAAUGCCUAUGAAUCUGCCUGGUAGUGUGGGAUAACGUCCGGAAACGGGCGCUAAUACCGCAUACGUCCUGAGGGAGAAAGUGGGGGAUCUUCGGACCUCACGCUAUCAGAUGAUCCUAGGUCGGAUUAGCUAGUUGGUGGGGUAAAGGCCUACCAAGGCGACGAUCCGUAACUGGUCUGAGAGGAUGAUCAGUCACACUGGAACUGAGACACGGUCCAGACUCCUACGGGAGGCAGCAGUGGGGAAUAUUGGACAAUGGGCGAAAGCCUGAUCCAGCAAUGCCGCGUGUGUGAAGAAGGUCUUCGGAUUGUAAAGCACUUUAAGUUGGGAGGAAGGGCAGUAAGUUAAUACCUUGCUGUUUUGACGUUACCAACAGAAUAAGCACCGGCUAACUUCGUG
rnacentral:rRNA from 1 species